rnacentral:rRNA from 1 species
GACGUAGGGCGCGAGCGUUGUCCGGAUUUAUUGGGCGUAAAGAGCUCGUAGGCGGCUUGUUGCGUCGACCGUGAAAACCCGUGGCUUAACUGCGGGCUUGCGGUCGAUACGGGCGGGCUGGAGUUCGGUAGGGGAGACUGGAAUUCCUGGUGUAGCGGUGAAAUGCGCAGAUAUCAGGAGGAACACCGGUGGCGAAGGCGGGUCUCUGGGCCGAUACUGACGCUGAGGAGCGAAAGCGUGGGGAGCAAACAGG